CAAUUCUUUCUGCCAGUUAUUCAGGGUCUUUGACAGAUUAGGUGGUCUUUUUUAUUCCUCUUCUUCUUUUUUUUUUUUUCCAUCCUCUUAAAAGGCAGUUCAGUUUACCUCUAAGCAAGACAUUAGCUCUGGCUGCCCCAAAUAACAUUUUAAUUGAAGUCUCAGUCCAAACAAAUGCCUGGUCUCUUUAUUAACCCCAACAGUGUAAUUUUUCAACCUAAGACUGAUUCAGGGGGAAACCGUCUCACUUAAACUGCCAUGCAACGGAACAUGGCAGUUUUCCUCAAUCAGUCUCUUUUCUGACCUUAAUUUGAACCUUAAUCUCUUUUAACCAUGUUCUCUUUAUUAGCUGCUCAUAGCCGUGGCACAAUACUAAUUUUCCUGUUUUUAGACUAUCAGUUUACAGAGGUAGUUCACUCCCCCGUCUGUCUCCAAAUGUAUCCAAGAUUUCAUGGACCUUUUUGGGAAAAGGAAGCUGAUCAUGACAUCCUUUGCUGGAAGGGCGAGCAAGCAGAUUACUUCCAAACUGGUGGUCCCAUGGGAACAGAAAGUUUUGAGGGUGUUUACUGUUUGUGCAAGAUGACUGGUUGGGUAAAGAAGUUCAAAGUUUAU